rnacentral:rRNA from 1 species
AACGAACGCUGGCGGCAUGCCUAACACAUGCAAGUCGAACGAGACCUUCGGGUCUAGUGGCGCACGGGUGCGUAACGCGUGGGAACCUGCCUUUAGGUUCGGAAUAACUCAGAGAAAUUUGAGCUAAUACCGGAUGAUGUCUUCGGACCAAAGAUUUAUCGCCUUUAGAUGGGCCCGCGUUGGAUUAGCUAGUUGGUGGGGUAAAGGCCUACCAAGGCGACGAUCCAUAGCUGGUCUGAGAGGAUGAUCAGCCACACUGGGACUGAGACACGGCCCAGACUCCUACGGGAGGCAGCAGUACAGAAUAUUGGACAAUGGGCGAAAGCCUGAUCCAGCAAUGCCGCGUGAGUGAUGAAGGCCUUAGGGUUGUAAAGCUCUUUUACCCGAGAUGAUAAUGACAGUAGCGGGAGAAUAAGCUCCGGCUAACUCCGUG